AUGCCGGACUCCGACAACGACUCCGGCGGGCCGAGCAACGCGGACUUCUCGUCGCCCAAGGAGCAGGACAGGUUCCUGCCGAUCGCCAACGUGAGCCGGAUCAUGAAGAAGGCGCUGCCGGCCAACGCCAAGAUCUCCAAGGACGCCAAGGAGACGGUGCAGGAGUGCGUGUCCGAGUUCAUCUCCUUCAUCACCGGCGAGGCCUCCGACAAGUGCCAGCGCGAGAAGCGCAAGACCAUCAACGGCGACGACCUGCUCUGGGCCAUGACCACGCUCGGCUUCGAGGACUACAUGGAGCCGCUCAAGCUCUACCUCCACAAGUUCCGCGAGCUCGAGGGCGAGAAGGCCGUCGGCGCCGGCGGCGUUGGCGCGUUACCCUCCCCCGGCGGCUCAGGCUCGCAGCAGAGGGAGUCGACGCCAAGGAACAAUGGCGGAGGCGGUGAGGCCGGCGGCUACGGCGGCAUGUACGGUGGCGCCGGGGCAGGAGGAGGCGGCGGCGGCAUGUUCAUGAUGAUGGGGCAGCCCAUGUACGGGUCCCCGCCGGCGGCAGGGUACCAACAUCCGCAGCAUCACCACCAGAUGAUGACGGGCGGGCAAGGCGGGUACGGCUACGGCGACGCCGGCGCCGGCGGCGGGUCUUCGUCGUCCUCAGGGUUCGGCAGGCAAGACAGGGCAUGA
rnacentral:rRNA from 1 species